UGGGAACGUACCCUUUGGUUCGGAACAACCCAGGGAAACUUGGGCUAAUACCGGAUAAGUCCGUAAGGAGAAAGAUUUAUCGCCAAAGAUCGGCCCGCGUCUGAUUAGCUAGUUGGUAGGGUAACGGCCUACCAAGGCUACGAUCAGUAGCUGGUCUGAGAGGAUGAUCAGCCACAUUGGGACUGAGACACGGCCCAGACUCCUACGGGAGGCAG
rnacentral:rRNA from 1 species